UUCGGCCGGAUUUCACACAGGUGUUGCAUGGCUGUCGUCAGCUCGUGUCGCGAGAUGUUGGGUUAAGUCCCGCAACGAGCGUAACCCUCAUCCUUAGUUGCAUCAGGUAAUGCUGAGCACUUUAAGGAAACUGCUAGUGAUAAACUGGAGGAAGGUGGGGAUGAUGUCAAGUCAUCAUGGCCCUUAUGGAGUGGGCUACACACGUGCUACAAUGGUGGCUACAAUGGGCUGCAAAGUCGCGAGGCCAAGCUAAUCCCUUAAAAGCCAUCUCAGUUCGGAUUGUACUCUGCAACUCGAGUGCAUGAAGUUGGAAUCGCUAGUAAUCGUGGAUCAGCAUGCCACGGUGAAUACGUUCUCGGGUCUUGUACACACUGCCCGUCACGCCAUGGGAAUUGGUUUCACUCGAAGCUAAUGACCUAACCGCAAGGAGGGAGUUAUUUAAAGUGGGAUCAGUGACUGGGGUGAAGUCGUAACAAGGUAAGCGUAGUGCU
rnacentral:rRNA from 1 species